UACAGAGGGUGCAAGCGUUAAUCGGAAUUACUGGGCGUAAAGCGUGCGUAGACGGUUACGUAAGUCGGGUGUGAAAGCCUCGGGCUCAACCUGGGAAUUGCAUUCGAGACUGCAUAGCUAGGGUGCGGAAGAGGGAAGCGGAAUUUCCGGUGUAGCGGUGAAAUGCGUAGAUAUCGGAAGGAACACCAGUGGCGAAAGCGGCUUCCUGGUCCAGCACCGACGUUCAGGCACGAAAGCGUGGGGAGCAAACAGG
rnacentral:rRNA from 1 species